UACGAAGGGUGCAAGCGUUAAUCGGAAUUACUGGGCUUAAAGGGCGCGUAGGUGGUUUGGUAAGCGAGAUGUGAAAGCCCCGGGCUUAACCUGGGAACGGCAUUUCGAACUGUCAGGCUAGAGUGUGGUAGAGGGUAGUGGAAUUUCCUGUGUAGCGGUGAAAUGCGUAGAUAUAGGAAGGAACACCAGUGGCGAAGGCGGCUACCUGGACCAACACUGACACUGAGGUGCGAAAGCGUGGGGAGCAAACAGG
rnacentral:rRNA from 1 species